rnacentral:rRNA from 1 species
UAUCCCCCUGUGUGCCUUCCUCCCACGACUGCUAAACGCGAAGAACCUUACCAAGGCUUGACAUACACCAGAACACCCUAGAAAUAGGGGACUCUUUGGACACUGGUGAACAGGUGGUGCAUGGUUGUCGUCAGCUCGUGUCGUGAGAUGUUGGGUUAAGUCCCGCAACGAGCGCAACCCUCGUCUUAUGUUGCCAGCACGUUAUGGUGGGGACUCAUAAGAGACUGCCGGGGUCAACUCGGAGGAAGGUGGGGAUGACGUCAAGUCAUCGUGCCCCUUAUGCCUAGGGCUUCACGCAUGCUACAAUGGCCGGUACAAAGGGCUGCGAAAUCGCAAGAUGGAGCGAAUCCCAAAAAGCCGGUCUCAGUUCGGAUUGGGGUCUGCAACUCGACCCCAUGAAGUCGGAGUCGCUAGUAAUCGCAGAUCAGCAACGCUGCGGUGAAUACGUUCCCGGGUCUUGUACACACCG